rnacentral:lncRNA from 1 species
GUGGAACCCAGGGCCCUGGCAGUGAAAGCGCCAAGUCUUAACUACUGAACCACCAGGGAAUUCCUUGUAGGUAUUAGUUCAUUAAAUUUAUGUGAAGUUACUGGAUCUUAGUUGAAAGAUGUCACAUUCUUUGUGGCUCACACAGCCUCCUAAUACCAAGGAUUGAGGCUAAUCCAGGAGCAUUCUUCCAGGCCCCUUGAGUGCUAGUUUUUAUUGAGUAAUUUCGUGUGUUGGGAUCAUGGACUCAGUACUUUCUCCACUUAUUAUCCUUUAAUCCUGAGACUUUCUUACCUAACCCUUUUUUCUUAACCCUAUGACUUUCUGAGAUCAUCGCCAUUUAUCAUGCUCACAGAGACUUAAUUCUCCCAAGGAUACUCAGCUAGGAAGUGCCUGUGCAAUUAUUUAGAAAGCCAAAUGAGAUGGCACCAGCUCACCAUCAACAGACAGAGAAAGUGAUUCAAGUUAAACCAGAUCAUUCCCUCUUCCUGGAGCCCUUUCCACCUCUGCGCCUCUGAAGCUAUGGGUCACCCCUCACGGCCACCCCCGCCCCAUCCCACUCUGAGGGCCCUCUCCCUUCCAAGCCUUGCCUGUGGUACAUGGCUUAGAUUAAAAUGCUCCACCCCUUCCCCCACCCCCAGGAAGCCCUCCCUGAUUCUCAUCAUUGGCAAACAGCAUUUGGCACAUCCUCGCCCUACAGCUUUUUGCAGAUUGACUAGGAGCGCCCACCAAGUAGUGUGAACAUGCUCAGUUGGGUCUGACUCUUCAACUCCAUGGAACAUGUAGCCUGCCAGACUCCUCUGUCCAUGUGAUUAUCCAGGCGAGAAUACUGGAAAAGUUAGUCACACAGUCGUGUCCAACUCUUUGGGAUUCCAG